ensembl:lncRNA
CCGGCACCACGUUUGUUGCAGAAUCUUCCAUCAUCUCUGAAAAUAUCUCAAGUACCCUGCGGAGAGCGACACACCCUGUUUGGGCUGAAGGACGGCAGCGUGGCGGCGUGUGGGCAAAAUGAUCACGGACAGCUUGGAAAUGGUUCUGUUGACGUCCCUCGCUUUGUCGAGCUUGUGGAAGCAUGUGUCGAAGGUCACCUGUGGGGCAAACCACAAUCUUGCACUGACAGGUGACGGGAAGCUGCUUCAGGGGGGCGGUGGACGGGCACAUGAAGAGGAACCUCUUUCUCUCAGAGGAAGUGACGCCAUAGCCUGCUUCUUACAGGUUAGCCUCUGCUUAUAUUUUAAACUUAUUGGUUUAGCGGUUUUUGUUUUUUUACAAUUACUACAUCUAUCGGUGCCUUGUACCUCCAGUUGUACAUUCAGACAACGUGUACUUUACACACUGGAUUUGGAUAUACUCCACACACUGACAUGUCCACGAACUCAACGUAACAUAUGUGUAAAUCCUUGGUGUGUGUCUUGGCCCUCACACAGACGUCUGUGUGUGUAUGGGGGUGGGGGGGGGGGGGGGCUUGUAGCUGUGGUGUCCAUCUAUUGGCAUCAUUCAUUAAGAGCUCUCCCAGCGGCUAGUGUGGCUACAUAA